rnacentral:rRNA from 1 species
UACGUAGGUGACAAGCGUUGUCCGGAUUUACUGGGCGUAAAGAGCGCGCAGGCGGUCGUUCAAGUCGAGUGUGAAAGCCCCCGGCUCAACUGGGGAGGGUCAUUCGAUACUGAUCGACUCGAAGGCAGGAGAGGGAAGUGGAAUUCCCGGUGUAGUGGUGAAAUGCGUAGAUAUCGGGAGGGAAACACCAGUGGCGAAGGCGACUUCCUGGCCUGUUCUUGACGCUGAGGCGCGAAAAGCUAGGGGAGCAAACGGG